UUAUGGUUGUAAAGCACUUAAGCGAGGAGGAUGCUACCAGUUAAUACCUAGAGAUAGUGGACGUUACUCGCAGAAUAAGCACCGGCUAACUCUGUGCCAGCAGCCGCGGUAAUACAGAGGGUGCAAGCGUUAAUCGGAUUUACUGGGCGUAAAGCGCGCGUAGGCGGCUAAUUAAGUCAAAUGUGAAAUCCCCGAGCUUAACUUGGGAAUUGCAUUCGAUACUGGUUAGCUAGAGUGUGGGAGAGGAUGGUAGAAUUCCAGGUGUAGCGGUGAAAUGCGUAGAGAUCUGGAGGAAUACCGAUGGCGAAGGCAGCCAUCUGGCCUAACACUGACGCUGAGGUGCGAAAGCAUGGGGAGCAAACAGGAUUAGAUACCCUGGUAGUCCAUGCCGUAAACGAUGUCUACUAGCCGUUGGGGCCUUUGAGGCUUUAGUGGCGCAGCUAACGCGAUAAGUAGACCGCCUGGGGAGUACGGUCGCAAGACUAAAACUCAAAUGAAUUGACGGGGGCCCGCACAAGCGGUGGAGCAUGUGGUUUAAUUCGAUGCAACGCGAAGAACCUUACCUGGCCUUGACAUAGUAAGAACUUUCCAGAGAUGGAUUGGUGCCUUCGGGAACUUACAUACAGGUGCUGCAUGGCUGUCGUCAGCUCGUGUCGUGAAAUGUUGGGUUAAGUCCC
rnacentral:rRNA from 1 species